rnacentral:rRNA from 1 species
UGUAGUAUACAAGGCAGACGGCUCAGUAACGCGUAGUCAACCUACCCUAUGGACGGGGAUAACCUCGGGAAACUGAGAAUAAUACCCGAUAGAACAUUAUGCCUGGAAUGGUUUAUGUUUCAAAUAAUUUAUUGCCGUAGGAUGGGACUGCGGCCUAUCAGUUUGUUGGUGAGGUAAUGGCCCACCAAGACUAUUACAGGUACGGGCUCUGAGAGGAGUAGCCCGGAGAUGGGUACUGAGACACGGACCCAGGCCCUAUGGGGCGCAGCAGGCGAGAAAACUUUGCAAUGUGCGAAAGCACGACAAGGUUAAUCCGAGUGGUUUCUGCUAAAGGAACCUUUUGUCAGUCCUAGAAACACUGAUGAAUAAGGGGUGGGCAAGUUCUGGUGUCAGCCGCCGCGGUAAAACCAGCACCUCAAGUGGUCAGGAUGAUUAUUGGGCCUAAAGCAUCCGUAGCCUGCUUUGUAAGUUUUCGGUUAAAUCCAUACGCUCAACGUAUGGGCUGCCGGGAAUACUGCAAAGCUAGGGAGUGGGAGAGGUAGACGGUACUCGGUAGGAAGGGGUAAAAUCCUUUGAUCUAUUGAUGACCACCUGUGGCGAAGGCGGUCUACCAGAACACGUCCGACGGUGAGGGAUGAAAGCUGGGGGAGCAAACCGGAUUAGAUACCCGGGUAGUCCCAGCUGUAAACUAUGCAAACUCAGUGAUGCAUUGGCUUGAUGCCAAUGCAGUGCUGCAGGGAAGCCGUUAAGUUUGCCGCCUGGGAAGUACGUACGCAAGUAUGAAACUUAAAGGAAUUGGCGGG